UACGGGGGGGGCAAGCGUUGUUCGGAAUUACUGGGCGUAAAGGGCUCGUAGGUGGCCAACUAAGUCACACGUGAAAUCCCUCGGCUUAACCGGGGAACUGCGUGUGAUACUGGAUGGCUUGAAUCCGGGAGAGGGAUGCAGAAUUCCAGGUGUAGCGGUGAAAUGCGUAGAUAUCUGGAGGAAUACCGGUGGCGAAGGCGGCAUCCUGGACCGGCAUUGACGCUGAGGAGCGAAAGCUAGGGGAGCAAACGGG
rnacentral:rRNA from 1 species